rnacentral:tRNA from 1 species
GCCGCCAUAGCUCAGCGGUAGAGCACUGGUCUUGUAAACCAGGGGUCGUAAGUUCGAUCCUCACUGGCGGCU